UACGUAGGGUCCGAGCGUUGUCCGGAAUUACUGGGCGUAAAGAGCUCGUAGGUGGUUUGUCGCGUUGUUCGUGAAAACUCACAGCUCAACUGUGGGCGUGCGGGCGAUACGGGCAGACUAGAGUACUGCAGGGGAGACUGGAAUUCCUGGUGUAGCGGUGGAAUGCGCAGAUAUCAGGAGGAACACCGGUGGCGAAGGCGGGUCUCUGGGCAGUAACUGA
rnacentral:rRNA from 1 species